GUCAUAUUACUUGUUCAGGAGUCGUAACUCCUGAAGCAGUUUCUGUAGCCAAAGAAGCUCACAUAUACCUAAAGCCAUUGCUCUAUACAUAGUUUCUGCUGAUGAUCGAGCUACCACUGACUAUUUCUUGCUCCUUCAAAUUACUAAAUUACCCCCUACAUAUGUGUAGUACCCAGAGGUAAACCGCCUAUCAUUCAGUGGCCUAGCCCAAUCUGC
rnacentral:lncRNA from 1 species